rnacentral:rRNA from 1 species
AUACGUAGGGGGCGAGCGUUGUCCGAAUUCACUGGGCGUAAAGCGCGCGUAGGCGGGUUUUUAAGUUGCGGGUGAAAUUCCGAGGCUCAACCUCGUAACUGCCUGCAAAACUGGGAGCCUUGAGGUAUGGAGAGGGAAGUGGAAUUCCUGGUGUAGCGGUGAAAUGCGUAGAUAUCAGGAGGAACACCCGUGGCGAAGGCGGCUUCCUGGCCAUAUCCUGACGCUGAGGUGCGAAAGCUAGGGUAGCGAACGGGAUUAGAUACCCCGGUAGUCCUAGCCGUAAACGAUGGAUACUAGGUGUUAGAGGUAUCGACCCCUCUAGUGCCGCAGCUAACGCAUUAAGUAUCCCGCCUGGGGAGUACGGCCGCAAGGUUGAA